rnacentral:rRNA from 1 species
UACGUAGGGUGCAAGCGUUAAUCGGAAUUACUGGGCGUAAAGCGUGCGCAGGCGGUUGGAAAAGUCUGAUGUGAAAUCCCCGAGCUCAACUUGGGAACGGCAUUGGAAACUGUCCGGCUAGAGUACGUCAGAGGGGGGUGGAAUUCCACGUGUAGCAGUGAAAUGCGUAGAGAUGUGGAGGAACACCGAUGGCGAAGGCAGCCCCCUGGGAUGAUACUGACGCUCAUGCACGAAAGCGUGGGGAG